rnacentral:rRNA from 1 species
GACGAACGCUGGCGGCGUGCUUAACACAUGCAAGUCGAACGGAAAGACCCUGCUUUUGUGGGGUGCUCGAGUGGCGAACGGGUGAGUAACACGUGAGUAACCUGCCCUUGACUUUGGGAUAACUUCAGGGAACUGGGGCUAAUACCGGAUAGGAGCUCCUGCUGCAUGGUGGUGGUUGGAGAGUUUCGGCGGUUGGGGCUGGACUCGCGGCUUAUCAGCUUGUUGGUGGGGUAGUGGCUUACCAAGGCUUUGACGGGUAGCCGGCCUGAGAGGGUGACCGGGCACAUUGGGACUGAGGUACGGCGCAGACUCCUACGGGAGGCAGCAGUGGGGAAUAUUGCACAACGGGCGGAAGCGUGAUGCAGCAACGCCGCGUGCGGGAUGCCGGCCUUCGGGUUGUAAACCGCUUUCGCCUGUGACGAAGAGUGAGUGACGGUAAUGGGUAAAGAAGCACCGGCUAACUACGUG